rnacentral:rRNA from 1 species
AUUGAACGCUGGCGGCAGGCCUAACACAUGCAAGUCGAGCGGGGUUUUCGGACCUAGCGGCGGACGGGUGAGUAAUGCGUAGGAAGCUACCCGAUAGAGGGGGAUACCAGUUGGAAACGACUGUUAAUACCGCAUAAUGUCUACGGACCAAAGUGUGGGACCUUCGGGCCACAUGCUAUCGGAUGUGCCUACGUGGGAUUAGCUAGUUGGUGAGGUAAAGGCUCACCAAGGCGACGAUCCCUAGCUGGUUUGAGAGGAUGAUCAGCCACACUGGAUCUGAGACACGGUCCAGACUCCUACGGGAGGCAGCAGUGGGGAAUAUUGGACAAUGGGCGCAAGCCUGAUCCAGCCAUGCCGCGUGUGUGAAGAAGGCCUUCGGGUUGUAAAGCACUUUCAGUAAGGAGGAAGCGUUGAGUGUUAAUAGUACUCAGCGUUGACGUUACUUACAGAAGAAGCACCGGCUAACUCUGUGCCAGCAGCCGCAGUAAAAC